GGUAAGUGUGAAUGUUGACACUUUUUGCCGUCAAUGGCGUACAAUAGACGCACCUGUGUCGAUGUGUCAGAGAAAUUUUAUACUAUAUUGGAUUUUAUAUGACGUUACCAUCAGGCAGUGAAAUGUAAUUAUAGGAGUGGCAUUUACGAAUUAAUUUUAAUAGAUAGUAGUGUCGUAGCGAACGCGAGCAUUCUAAUUACGGAUGUUUAAAAUUAGAAUAUUCAAUGGCUGUGAAUAUGGAAGUAGAAAAGAACACCUCCAAAGAGGUUGACACUCAACUUUUGGCAACCAAUUCGAUGGAAUUUCACGAUGGCAUUCAAAAAAAUGAUGAAAAUGUUAGAGAUCUUGAGAAUUCGUUUUCGUCGCUUGAAAAUAAAACGUUCGAUAGCGAGGAAUGCGAUCGUACGAUUAUAUACGCACAACUCGAGGAGCCUAAAAUUUACCCGAAUGAUUUAGACGAUAAUCGAAUAUCAAAUAAUGAAAAACAGAAAGUAAGCAUCGAAAAUAAAGAGAAAGAAUUGUCACAGAACAAGAAAACUUUAAGGAAUGAUUACAAGAGUCAUCAAUCAGAAGCAACAUCAGAAAACUCCAAUGAUAGACAUGCAUCUCAAGCACCGUUAGCUUUUACAAUUGACUUUGGCAACAAGGAAGUUGAUACAAGCAAAUAUCAGAAUUUAUUUGAGAGAUAUAAUGCUCGUCAUAAACGAAAUCUUUCCACAUCUAAGGUAGAAAUAAAUACCAAAAAAACUGGCACAUGUUCUUCAAAUUUAAUGCAAAAACAAAAAGUUUCUAGUACACAUUCUGAAGGUUACUUUAGUAGUGAAGAUGACACAAGAAGAAAAACAGAUCAAUUAUCAAUGAAACUGAAACAGCUAGGUUCAAGAACAUUUUUAAAAUCAUCUAACACUGCAACAAAAUCUGAAUCUGCUAUGAAAGUGACAAAUUUUCAGAGUACACGAAAUGCAAUGACUAGAUCUUUUGAACAGUCAAAACAAACUAGAUUCGCUGAUAAAAAUCUUUCUUUAGAACUUGGUUAUACAGGAAAAAUAAAUUCAACACCAUAUUGGGUGCCUCAAAAAUCAGCUACCAUAAAUGAUUUAAGUAGAAUUCAAGCAAAUAAUUAUGAUGAUGAAGCUGAAAAGUUAUACACAAAGAAUAUAGAUCCAGAAGAUGAUUAUGAAAAUUCAUCUGAUAAUGCUUCUGAAAAAGUUUGUAACAUCAAUUAUGGUAGGAAUAAAAGUAUGAAUGCAAAAGAACACAAUUUAUCUAGUGUUAGUUAUACAAUGGAAGUGAAUCCAGAUGAACUGGCUGAAACGAAUAUAGAUGUUUUUAAUGUCAGUAAUGUUGAUGGAGGAUCAGAUGGUGCAGUUAGUGAAGCAGGAACAUACACAAUACACAAGGAUUAUACAGAUGAAGAGAAAGCAAGAAUGGAUAUUGAUAAAGUGUUUAGUGUUGGUAUUUUAACCGAAGAGGAGAGCAAUGGAGCAUGUAUUCAUAACUUUAAGAUGAGUGUUUCAAGGGAUAACAAUACAUGGAUAUCAGAAUGGGCUACACAAGUAGCAGAACAUAAUUCUCUUCCACCAGCGAUUGGUGGACCGACCGGUCGUACUCCUCCACUAAGUCCUUCCAAGAUACCGUCUCCUAUUCAUACUAGAUCUCAAAGACUGGCUCGUAGUCGCAAUGAACAAAGCGACAGCAGUUUAGAUGCGGAAUCGUACUUGCGAAUAAAAGAAAGAGUAGGUUUAAUUUCAAAUCAGCACAUAAUGAUUGACUCUGGUGGAGAAUCAGAUGAUGACACCAGUAAUAGCUAUAAUACACCACCGCAUAGUGCACAACGGACACCAGUGCAUGGUACUUUAACAAGGCGCGGGAGUUUAUCUGAAUCUCUUUUUAGAAGAGCCAACACCAGCGAAAAUAGGAGGAGCAUUCGCAAAUAUUUGAGUUCAAACAAAUCUAAGACUGAAGACACAAGCGCAGAAUUAAGUAGUCCGUCCAAAGAUUUUGCUUCCCUUCAUUUAGGAAGGCGAAGUAGUUCCUUGGACAGGCGAGAAUGUACAUCCGAUACAACUGAAUCUAAUACGUCCAGGAGGAGUAGUAUGAAGUAUUAUCGAGAUGAUGAAACUACGUAUACAAAUAGCCCUGUUUUGAGCCGCCUAAGACCUUCUACGCCGAAAUUAACUAACAGUCCAAUCGUAACUCGCAAGACGGUAACAAAAAUUGUUAAUUCACUGGUGUUAGAAAAAACUAAGCACCUGGCGAAAUCUUCUACAGAAGCUAAAAACAUUGGAUACUUUACUUGUGUUGAAAACAGUCCAUACAUGUUAAGGAAGUCUAAUAGUACCGCAAGUUACCAUGAAGGAAGUAUCGGCCUGAAUAAUAAAGAAAUGCUAACGAAAACGAACAGUGUUCUUCAAAAUAGUCCGAAUCUUCAACGCAAUCUAAAUAUCCAAAGAUCGUGCAGCAAUGCAAAUAUCAGAAAUGUAAAGUCACAGAGCCACUUAUCUCGUCGUAGUAGCUUUAACAGUAGUGACAUUGACAGAACGUCUUCAAGAGGAAGGUGUGUUGUUGCAUCUGACAGUAGCAGCGAGGCUGGUGAACAGCAAGUUAAACCUUCACUAGCUUCGAUAUCAUCGGGAAUUAAAUUGAAUCGAGCUUUUAGCAUACGAAGAGCUAGAUUAAAUUGUGAAUCCGAUACAACACCAAAUACAACUCCCGAAGAAAGACGAAGGCGAGCACAAAGCGAAGUAAAAUCAACAAUACCCGCAAAUAAACAACAAAAUUAUCAUCGAAGUCGUGCAAGCAAUGUAAACGCUCAUUUCAAAGAACCUUUAAAAAAAUCAGAGCCUAUAAAACCUAGAACUGUAUCUAUAUCAAGAACUGACAGUACUAGGAUUAGUAUAAGGGCACCGAAAUCAUCUCACCAUGUUUCUAUUACACAACGACCUAAUCAGAAAGUAAAUAAAGAUCAGAAAUCUGGUAGAAGUAAUUCAACAUUAACAUCAAAGGAAGUCGAAUUUCAGAAUUGGAAAAGGAGGAAAAGUUAUGAUCCAAUGAAGGCAGCCGCGGAAGGGAGAAAGAAAUUAAUAGACAACUCAAAAAAACAUCACAGCACAGAAGACAGUUCUGGCAAUCACGAUAAUUCUGUAUUGCGGUCAGCAAGUUUUCAUGGAACUGGUGGUGCCCUUUCAUUAGCUAAUGAAUGGUCAGACAACGAAUUAAAUUUUACUGAGAACGACAAUCAAGUACCUCCACCAUGUAGUCCACAAUUGAAAAGCGAUAGCGAUCUAGAAACAUCGUAUUACUUACAAGCAACGCAAAAUGUUGUAUCAGCUAUGUCAGCUCGUAUUACAGACUGUCAUUCACCUUUGAUAGAUUCAGAUAAUGAAAGCGAUGAGGAUACUAGUCAUAGUCUGCAUAAAAAUACGUCGAAAACAUUAAAUCAGCCUAGCGAUACAGAGAGUAGCGACGAUCGCCAGCCCUGUACACACAAUACUAUUUCAAACACUAAAUAUAACAGAGCAUUCAGCUUACGCAGACCAAGAGUAGACUCACAAGUAACAAAACUACCAACAAAUGUAAAUAAAAAUAAAUCGGUCGCAUCCGAUACUCGUGGAAAAUCUGAAUCUAUUACAAGUAUUAGUAGAACCGAUUCUGGGCGCUUCAGUAUGCGAUUAAACAGAACUUCAAAUACUGGUUCUAAAGCGAAACCAAAGGAAACAAAAAAAUCUGUAACACCUAACGCAAGGGAAGUUGAAAUGCAAAAUUGGAAACGUCGUAAAAGUUACGAUCCUAUGAAGGCCGCAAUGGAAGGAAAACGAAAAGCAGGUUUAGCCAAAAAGAAUGUGAAUGCAAAUCUUUCUCCAAGGACCGAUAGCGAUCGAUAAUCUAAUGAUAGAGACCAUCGGUACAAGCAAGUGGUACGAAAAAGACUUGUUUGAUUUUGCGAUUUAGAUUUUUUUAAGAGUCAUGUUGCAAGAUCACGUAGUUUCCAUGGUUCAUCAGGAUUUGGAGUUAGCGAUUGGAGUGAUGAAGAGUUGGCUAUAUCUGCGGACGAAAGUACCGUCUAUUAAAGGUCACGCUAUUAAUGAUAUUAUAUGAAUGAAUUAAGUUACAAGAAUUUCAACUAUAGCAAUUAAUGUACAUAAAGAAUAAGAACAUCAGUUCUUACUAAAUUGCUCUAUGAAUAGUUCUAUACAUUUAAAAUUAUAUUAAAUGGAGAAGAAUGUUAAAAAAUCUUUUCUAUAUUAAAAGAUUCUAUUUUUUGCAACUUUUAACAUUAAGAAACUAUAGAACUAUAUGGCUAUCAGUACUGUUUUAAGUUCAAGUAUCACUAUUUAAUCAAAUUGAUGUCCUUAUAUUUUAGUUUUUCUUUAAAUGUAUUCAAGUGUAUCAUUGAAUGCUGUAUGAAUUAAGACAAGAGAAUAUGUCAAAGUCUUCUGAAUUUUGUGGUAAAAAUAAUAGUUCCAAAGUUAGGGCCUAAAGGUAAUGAAUACUAAAUAUAUAAGAUCAUGUGUGUAAUUGGUUUAAUUGUGAUUGGACCAAUCAUGUAGCAGUGUAGAGGUAUUAUUAUCUUGACAUUUUAGUUUUUAGUAGACAUAACUAUUAUUUGUUUUUUGAAGUAAAAUUAUUAUUCAUUGCAUUAUUCGUUAUAGUAGUUUCAGGAAACAAUUGUUUACAGUAUUUUAUGUUCUCAAUUUACUUUAAUUGAUACUUAUUAUUUCUUCUUGUGUCUCGUUGAAAUCAAUAUGUCUCGAAAAUGAUAUGAAAAAAUUAUUAGUUUCUAUCAACUACAGAAUUAUACAUAUUGCUUGAUAACAAAUUAGGAAAGAUAUUAUCAUCUAUCAUUGAUUCAUGUAUGAGCUCUCUGCAUUUCAACAUAAUUAUUGAUGUAUCUAAAGAAAAAAUGCUAUUUGCUCCUGAAAUGUGCAAUAAAUUACUCUAAUUACUUUUUACAUCUAAUAAUUUAAUAAUUAAUGUGAUCAUAGUAUGCUUUAAGAUGAUAGUAUAUAUUGUAUUAUAUUUUAUUAUUGAUCAAUUUAAUUGUAUAUCGUUUCGUUUACUAUGAAUUCUGUAAAUAUUAGGAAAUGUUUUCAAUUAAUUGUAAGAACAAAUAUUGAUCUAAAUAAUCUAGAAAUUAUAUUCAGCUCAUUGAUGUAUAAUUAUAACAUUAUCUAAACAGUAAAUUUUAAUAUGCACUUGUUCAAAAGGUUUAUGUUGUUUGGUCGCGCUUCUUGUUGAUGUAUUAUAAAUUUAUCAGCAAUUUGAGAUACUACACAAUUUAGAUAAAUCAAUUAUUUUUAUGCACUUCCACGUACAGCUGGUUAUAUUGUAAUUUUUACUGCAUAAUUUUUGAAAUAAACAUUAUUUAUUUUAUUUGUAAUCUUAAAAAUCAAUAAAUCUCUUAAAGAGAUUAUUCAUAUGUUUGACAGGAUUUUGGAAACAACACUUCGUGAGAUGUAUAAAUAAUUUAUGCAGUAAGAAACAUCAUAUCAUAUGAUACAUAUGAAAAAAGAAAUAUCGAUAAAAUGCGAUGUUGUAUUUUGUUGAAAGCUUAUUUUCAGAAAGAUUUCAUUAUUUAAAAAAAUGUAUGUUCUGCACAUUAUUAUUAUUGUCAAAAUGCACUUGUAUGUUUUGUUUCAAUAACCUAAGAAGGUGCUAAUUGUAAACUUUGUUUGAUUUAGUUUUCCAAAUCCUACCUUUCCACUUAGUCAUAGAAAGUUAAGUAAUUCAUAAUUAGUGCGAUUAAUGUUUAAACGUUAAUUGACUGUAAUUUAGCAUGAUAUAUUUUUCAACCAUUUGUAUUAUUGAGGGCGGGAAGGCUUUUUUCGAAUACGAAUAAUUCUUCCAAAAAUGGUGCAAAACAAAUUUUACGUUAUAAAACUAUGUUUAUACUAUACAGAUUUUUAAUAUCGUGUUAAAGAUGCUUACGAUGCAU